ACGAGACCUUCGGGUCUAGUGGCGCACGGGUGCGUAACGCGUGGGAAUCUACCCUUUGGGUUUCGGAAUAACAGUUAGAAAUGACUGCAUAAUACCGGAUGAUGACGAAAGUCCAAAGAUUUAUCGCCCAUGGAUGAGCCCGCGUAAGAUUAGCUUGUUGGCGGGGUAAUGGCCUACCAAGGCGACGAUCUUUAGCUGGUCUGAGAGGAUGAUCAGCCACACUGGGACUGAGACACGGCCCAGACUCCUACGGGAGGCAGCAGUGGGGAAUAUUGGACAAUGGGCGAAAGCCUGAUCCAGCAAUGCCGCGUGAGUGAUGAAGGCCUUAUGGUUGUAAAGCUCUUUUACCAGGGAUGAUAAUGACAGUACCUGGAGAAUAAGCUCCGGUCUAACUCCGUGCCAGCAGCCGCGGUAAUACGGAGGGAGCUAGCGUUGUUCGGAAUCACUGGGCGUAAAGCGUGCGUAGGCGGUGACUCAAGUCAGAGGUGAAAGCCUGGAGCUCAACUCCAGAACUGCCUUUGAAACUAGGCCGCUAGAACAUC
rnacentral:rRNA from 1 species